AGUGCACACGCUGAAAUGUCUCGCCUUCUUUACUAAUCAUUGAUAUUAUGUUGAUAGUCCUAAAUAUAAAGCUUUAUUACAACUGCCACAUAAACUUAACAUUAACCAAGUAAACUAAACAUUGACCAAUGAACCAUGAAAAUGAGGUCAAGGUCAGAUGAACCAUGCUAGGCAGGCAUGUACAGCUAACAAUUCUUCCAUACUACAAAUUUAACUGACCUAUUGCUUAUAGUUUAAGAAAAACAGACCAAAACACAAAAACUUAACACUAAGCAAUGAACCUUGAAAAUGAGGUCAAGGUCACAUAAAACCUGCGUGACUGACAUUUAGAUCAUAAAAUAUUUUCAUACACCAAAUAUAGCUGAACUAUUGCAUAUAGUAUUAGAAAAACAGACCAAAACACAAAAACUUAACUUUGACCACUGAACCAUGAAAAUGAGGUCAAGGUCAGAUGACACCUGCCAGCUAGACA